AUUGAACGCUGGCGGCAGGCCUAACACAUGCAAGUCGAGCGAGCGGCGGACGGGUGAGUAAUGUCUGGGAAACUGCCUGAUGUAGGGGGAUAACUACUGGAAACGGUAGCUAAUACCGCAUACCAUCAGAUGUGCCCAGAUGGGAUUAGCUAGUAGGUGGGGUAACGGCUCACCUAGGCGACGAUCCCUAGCUGGUCUGAGAGGAUGACCAGCCAAACUGGACCUGAGACACGGUCCAGCCGCCUCGGGGAGGCAGCAGUGGGGAAUAUUGCACAAUGGGCGCAAGCCUGAUGCAGCCAGGCCGCGUGUGUGAAGAAGGCCUUCGGGUUGUAAAGCACUUUCAGCGGGGAGGCGUUACCCGCAGAAGAAGCACCGGCUAACUCCGUGCCAGCAGCCGCGGUAAUUC
rnacentral:rRNA from 1 species